rnacentral:rRNA from 1 species
GGUUGAUCCUGCCAGUAGGCAUAUGCUUGUCUCAAAGAUUAAGCCAUGCAUGUCUAAGAUCAGGAGGUUUCUCCGAAUCUGCGAAUGGCUCAUUAAAUCAGUGAUAAUUUAUUGGACAGUACUUACUACUUGGAUAACCGUGGUAAUUCUAGAGCUAAUACAUGCAACAAGCCCUGACCGCAAGGAAGGGGUGCAUUUAUUAGAUACAAAACCAAUGCUAGGUUCGCCUAGGUUUUUGGUGAUUCAUAAUAACUAUGCUGAUCGCAUGCUCUUGUAGCGGCGACAUGUCCUAU